AUUCCAGCUCCAAUAGCGUAUAUUAAAGUUGUUGUGGUUAAAAAGCUCGUAGUUGGAUCUCAGCUCACGCCUGUCGGUCCACUGUUGGUGGUUACUACCAGGCUGGGCACUUUACCUGAUUGUCUUGUGGUGCUCUUUAUUGAGUGUCGCAAGCGGUCGGUACGUUUACUUUGAAAAAAUUAGAGUGCUCAAAGCAGGCCUAUCGCCUGAAUAAUGUUGCAUGGAAUAAUGAAAUAGGACUUUGGUUCUAUUUUGUUGGUCUUCGGAACCAAGGUAAUGAUUAAGAGGGACAGACGGAGGCAUUAGUAUUGCGACGCUAGAGGUGAAAUUCUUGGACCGUCGCAAGACUAACUAAAGCGAAAGCAUUUGCCAAGAAUGUUUUCAUCG
rnacentral:rRNA from 1 species